GCAAAUCACAUUUAAAUAACUCCGAUAGGCUGCAUGUUCUAAUUAUUUAAGUUCCAUUCCAUGCUUUCCUUGUUUCCGUCAACAAUAGUCAAAAGAAUAGGUUAAAAACAUAACAUGCAUUUUUCACGAUUUUUAAAACUGGAGUCUUGGCAAUCAAAUACAUCUAGCGACUUCUAACUGAAUUGGUCAUGUGUAAGAUCAUAUUGGAAUCUAUCUCUCAUCCACACUCAUUUGCAUGCAUGGUCACAUAGAUACAGAAACCUUCUCAGACAUAUCCUAUCCUGAACAAUGUAUCUAACUUUUCCACUUGAUUGUGUAUAGAAUCAAAGAACUUAGUGAAUAGGUAAUAUGUGUUGUUCUGGAGUUGGUUCCUAAGAUUGCUUCUCAGAUAGCAAUGAAUCUUUGACAUCGUCAUGCAAAUGAUGCAGCUGUUUCAACAACCAUUAACGUAUUUCUACAAUUGACCCUUUAUAAUUUCCAUGAUAGAUGUUCAUAAACAGAUACAUACAAUUUCAUUCUUAAGUAUCAUCUUUAAUUGAUGAUGAGAUUUGUUGUAUUUGGUUUUUUUUCCAUUGAAUUUACUCAUUUAAACUUCAAUUUUCUUCUUUGGAAGCCAAAUAGAGCAUUCUUAUAAUCUGUCUUGUUGUUUUUGUAGUGUUGAAGAUUUUCUUGUUGACAUAUAUUAGACUUGUUUCUAAACCUCCUGGUUCUCUUUUAAGGAGAAGUUCUCAUACACAUCUAGAUCUCAUUGCUGCUUCUGACACAUGAUUAUUAGUUGGGGAACUGUUGAAGUAACACCAUGACAGUUUGCAAGCCACUGCAUUGUAAAACCAUUAAAAGAUUCUUUUCAACAUAUCAUUCCAUCCUCUUAUUCUCCAUAAAGUUUUAUUCCUACCGUAAGUUGCAUGUUAUGAAUCCAAAAAUGCAUGGAUCUUUAAAGACAUUUUACACAUUUUAACCUCUACACAGUUUUAGUCCUGCUAUAAUGAUGCACAUCAAGCCAAGUAUAUUUCUCUAAUCUUGUAGAUAAUUAAAUCAACUUUGGCAAUGUCCUUAUUCUAAAUUCUAAGCCCGUUUGCUUUAGAAUAAGUAUAUCACAUAUGAGAUUUUAUGUUUUCAGCUUACCUAUAAAUUAUGUAAUAUCAUUUGCAGGAAACCUUUCUCUGCCAGAUGCUAUUAUGUCCUCGUGCCUAUUGUGGAACCUGAAAUUCUUCUAGAUGGAGACCACCCAAUUGAGAGGACACUUGAAGUGGCAGAGCGUGUGUGGUCUACUACUUAGCAGAGAACAAUACUGUCUUUGAAGGCGUUCUACUUAAACCUAGCAUGGUAACUCUAAGUGCUGAGGACAAAGAGAAGCCUUUUUCAAAUACCAUUGCCAAAAGAUACACUCACCAUGCUCAAAAGGAGAGUGCCUCUGACAGUUCCAGGAAUCGUGGUAAAAAACUCAACCCCCUAUCAAUUAAGUUGAUACUGCGAUUUUUAAACCUUUGAGUCCCGAGGCACCGGAUAUGUACACAUCGACCACCGAUACGAUGUUGAAAGUUUCAACACAUGUCAUUUCUAAUAUCAAUAGUUUGAUCAUUGAAGAGUACACUGGGUCGAUUAACACGAGUGAGGGUUUUGAAUUUUGAAAUUAAGAAAAUUUGCCAUUGGAUCUUGAAAGGGGAUUGGGUGAUUUGAGUAGGGUGGGAGAAAGAAGUUUGGACUCUAUGCGAUGGAAUAGAUUGGUAAUUAUUUGUGACAUUAGAC
rnacentral:lncRNA from 1 species